AGAAUUUUGUUUCAGUGAAUGCUAAUUUCAUAGGUGGUUUCCAUGCUCUAGUUGAAGAUAAUUUUGCUAGUUUUUAGGCAUAAUAUAUUGGGGAAUGAGUCCAAGUUGAUUGAAUUAGAGAGUUGACAAUGAUGGCGAGGGGAGUUCGAGGAAGUCUUUGGUUUCCAGACCUAGGACUUAUGAAGUAAAGCUCGGUCCCUCAGCCUCAUCAUUGGGCCGGGUAUUCAGCCGGGUCCCAUGCAAGUCUAGGCCGAGCGAAUAUUCUUAACAUCUCUACUCACAUACCUACUUCUGAUGAGCUGGCUUGACAGGGCCGUUGGACAUCUGUGUUUGACAAAAUAUCAUAAAACCUUUAUAAAAUAAAAUAAUAUACUUGGGAGUGAGGACGAGUUUGAUUUUCGUAAGUUUUACGUUUUGUACCCGUUGAUCAUGGACUGAUUCAAUUUAAAAUUUUCACUGAGUUUUGCUUUUUGUAUACAUUGAUCGUGGGCCUAUUCAACUUAGAAAAUAGAAAUCAGGGAGGUUAAAAUCUUCUUGCCUUCAAGUUGCAUGGCGAAACCAUGGAGGGACCGAAAAGUUUGUCUUCUUUCCAUGAUAAGCUGUUUUCCUCCCACUUAGCUGCCCUUCUGAAGUGGAGACUUAACCUUUUGUAUUGAAUAAUUGACUUUGUAUUAAGAAAUUUUAAUCCCACCUAAGACCUUGUAAGUAAAAAUAUCAAAUAAAUAAUAAACAUAAAAUAAAUAAAGAAUAAAACCAAUCACACAACACAAUAAUUUACGUGGAAAAGUGAAUUAUUGAAAAAAAAAUUACGACUGCCAAAGACAACAAGAGAAAAGUUUACUAUGUGAAAAAUUAUUAUAAUCAUUCUAGUAUUUUUCUCUCAAACCCCAAUAACACCCAAUUUCUCAAUAGACCUACUAUUUCUCUCAACUAGAAACUGUCUACAUGAAGAGAACUGAUUGUUGUAUUAUACAAACAAGUGAAUCCAACCUCUCUAUAUAUAGUGAUUAUUUCUUAUAGAAAAAGUAUUUCUUUUUUUAUACUAGUAAUAUUUCUCCUUAAAAAAAGUUAAGUCCUAAAGAAAAAAUUAUUUAUCCUUAAAUAGGAUGUUGCAGAAGCGUGAGUUGAGCAACUAUAAAUAGUAUGGUGAUUGCAACUUCUGGAGAAAUAUAAAUGUGAUGAUAAACAAAUGCAAAAAAAAAAAAAAAAAAGACACAAUAAUUUACUUGUUUCGGCUUAAAGCAUACUUCCAUGGGCAAUCAGCCCUUCCCCAUUAAUCACUUCAUGCCCAUUAUUUCUCUGAAUCUCCUUUGAGCUCAGUGAUGCCUUAGCAUUUUCAAAGGUCAAUGUUGUUCUUAGAUACAACAUUGUAUCUACAAAAUCUUCAUAGGAUUGUGGCAGUGAACUUAGCAAGAAGAAUGCUUUGUCUUCACCUCGAAUCUUCACAUUUUCAACCCCAUCAUGAUAAAGAAUGAUCUUGUUGAAGGUAUCAAUGUGAUCUUAGAUAGACACACCCUCUUUCAUCGAAAACGCAUAGAGCUUUUUCUUCAAGAAAGCCUGUGGGCUAAGGACUUCUUCAUACAUAGUGCCUCCACCUUAUUCCAUAUCCCCAAAGGUGUUUUUUCUUCAGAGAUUUCCCUUAAGAUUGAGUCACUAAGGCUCAAAAUCAAGGUACUGUGGGCUUUGUUCUGGAUCUGCUUUUUCUUUUCAUCAGGUUUGGAACUUAUAGCUCCAUCAAGAUCUUCUUCUUCUAGAGCAGACUCAUGGCCCUAAUGAACAAGCAGAGCCCUUAGCCUCAUCUUCCAGAAACCAUAUAACUACCUUUUAACAACCCAGGCCAUGUCAGCAAAAAUUUUUAAAUGUACCCCUCAACUGAAUGCAAUCUGCAUAAUGACCCACAAAGUUCUCAUUUGAUUUCACUUUUGUUCCUAAAUCAAACAAGCAUAUCUUCACAACUUGAAGCAUUCACUACUGUAGAAUUGGUCUUUAAUGACGGUUUUAAAUGACAUAAGAUGACGAUUUUAAAACCAUCAUCUUAGGCAGUGGCAUUAAAAGUGACAUUAAAAAAGGCAUACUUUUUAUAACGGUUCAAAAACCGUCAUUAAAUGUAUACAUAUAAUGAUGGUUAUUUUGCUAAACAUUCGUUAUUUAUGAUAUAUACUAAAAUUUUAAUCAUGAUUUUUUUCCUAAAAACCAUCAUUAAAAAGGCACAUUUAAUAACGAUUCUUUUAAUAACGGUUAUCUAUUGCAUUUUUCCAUUAAUUUUUAAUGACGGUUUUAUUCACAACCGUCAUCUUUUAUAACAAGUAUACUUAUAUUUAAUGACAGUUAUUACAUAAUAAAAUUUUAAGGUGUAGGAAUUUAACCUCUUCAUAUGGCCUAUCAAUUUAAUGACUGUCACCAAACUUAAUUGUAAACUCUUGACCUACAAAAUUUUGAAAGAAUAUAUGAUUAGAAAGAUCCUGAAAAUCACCUCCAUCUGCUAAACUGAAAUUUUGAAAGAGUAUAAUCUAUUACAUAGCACAUUCCUAUGCUUGUACUAUAUUAAUUUAAUAUAGUAUUCCAAUUUAGUCGUCUAAGAGCAUUAAUACGUAUACACUAUAAGCUAAACAAUUAGAAGACUCUAUUGGUACCCUGAUAUGAGUGUUUAUCUAAAAAUAUUUUUAGAACUCAUGUUCUAAAGCAAGAAAUAUAAAUAUAUGAUCUUUAUAGAUAUGAAUGGUGAGUAGUAUAGUUGUAAUGCCAUACAGGUAAUUGAAGCACAAACUGCAAAGGUCACCUAAUCAGCUAGUAUUUUGUCAAAUCAUUUAACUUAUCAACAAAGAUGAGGGAACCAUUGGAGUCAAAAUAUGCAGUUGCUUUAUUGUCUCCUACAUAAUCUGCAUUAACAAAGUCAUAUUACUGAUAGAACUAAUAAUUUUGAAUGAACUAAAAUGAAGAAAGGAAGUUGUUCGAAAGCUAAGUUAAGAAAAUGAAUUGCUUUCAAACUACCUAGAAAUAAAAACAAGGAAAGAAAUAAUCAACAGCAAGUUUAAAAAUCAACUUGCUUUCAUGCUUUUGUUCUUUAGGCUCAAAUUGUAUAGAGGCGUAAAUAACUCCUUCCAAUUUCUCAGCUUUUAUCUUAAAAGCAAUCAAAGCAUCCAUUUGCUCACUCAAACAUUCAACCUAAGCAUAAUUUUCUUUCACUUUAUUCCCAUAAAACUUGUCAAAUUUAUCAAAAUCAUCAUCAAGCCUUGUAAAAAACUACUGCUCCCAUUCCCCUCCUUCCUCAACAAUCUUCAAAAAUAUUUUUAAUGCAAAAUAAACCAAAAAAGUUUCCGGGAGCCGUUUUGAUUGUAGAACAGUAACCAAAUAGCACUUGCAGAUUUCCAGCGGUUGUUUUGCUACUGUUUUGCAGUGAAAACAGCCAAUAGAAAUUUGCAGAGGCUGGCUUUUCUGCUUUUCUGUGGUGAAAAUAGCCCCGCAAAUUACCAAGGGCUGUUUCAGUGCAGAAAAGCAGAAAAGCAGUCCUUGUAAACUUCUAGCGGAUAUUUUGACAGCAAAGCUAUAGAAAAACAACCUUUGGAAUCGUCCAUUGCUGUUUUAGUUUGAUGAAGAAUAACGGUAAAUUGAUUUUUUUUUUUUAACUAUGAACAUAAUCAAUAGAUGAUUCAACAACCAUGGGAAAUUAUCAAAGCAACCUCAAAUGGGAACAAGCAAAGUUAUCAAGCAAAAACAAAAUAAAUAAGCCUUAUUAUCAUUUUCCUUUCUAAAUUUUGAUAUUAAUAAUAAUAAAAAAAUUAGUGCAAAGCUUUCAAUGAUUUGGAAAAAAUUAAAAAGCCCAAAAUAGGAGGAGGGACAGUUAAAACUUAUAUGAUAAAGGUCAAAUCCAAGAACAUACAUUGAUAACUUUGAUAAAGAUCAGCUGAAACUUGCGCUGCAUCUUCAGUUGAUUUCUUAGAAGCUUGGUUGUAAACAAUAUAAAUCCCAUAUUUUUUCACCACGUCGCCACAGUUUAUGUGUUUAAGAUUUAACUGGAAAAAGACAACAAUAUUUUCACAAUACUCACCGUCCCCAUUGAAAUUAAAACUACUGAAGAAAUUCUUCCCGAAAACUAUGUGAUCUAACUCAAACUAAAAAUAAUGUAAAAAAAAACUGAGGUGGCUAGCAAACCUGUAAAGUGGGAGAAGUCGAAAAAUUGCAAAACAAAAACCAUGGCAAGAGAGAACAGAAUCAUUUUCUAUUACCACAGCACAAAAGAUUCCCUUAAUCAGCAAUAUAAGGGAAAAAAAAUUAAAUAGAGCAACCAAAACAAGUAAUCAAAACCAUUGAAGAAAUUAUUGCACAAAAGGAUUAAGGCUCACGACAAUGAAAUGAACGCAAGAAAAAUGAGAUCUAAAGCAGCGAUGUAAAUCAUACCGAAUGCCGCAAUAAUCCGUGAAUGGCACCGUGAGAGGGUGUUGGAGUUUUGUGGCCAUUUAAGUUGGAAGUUAGGGUUUCGUGUGACAUAUGAAAUUGGAUAUUAGGGUUUCGUGUGAUAGAAAGGUAAAGAUUUUGGCUAAUAAAAUUGCAUGAAGUGAGAGGGGAAUCCAAAAGUUUUGUGUAUUGAGAAAGGGAGUGAGGUAAUGUUUGAAGUUUUGGGAAAGUGUUGUAAUAUAAAGGGAAUGAGAUUAAACAUGACAGUUCUAAACAAUAACAGUCAUGUUAAUUAUUAAAAUUAAAAGUUAUAUAUAAUGAUGGCUUUUAAUCACG
rnacentral:lncRNA from 1 species